rnacentral:lncRNA from 1 species
UCGUGGAAAACCUACUGAUCUAAAAGCGCGAGAAAUUAUUAUCCGGCAGUACCAUAAAGGGAAAACAAUGCAAGAAAUCUCCACUGAAUUAAAUGUUGCAACAACUACUAUAUUUAAUAUAAUUAAAAAAUAUGGUGAAACUGCCAGUAUUGGUGUUCGCCGCAAAAGUUCAGGACGUCCAAAAGUUGUUUCUCAAAGAAAUGUAAGAAACUUGAUUAAAAUUUGUAAGUCGGGAAGAAGAAAUACUCUACAAGAAGUAACUGCAAGGUGGAAUAGAGAAAGUGGGAUAAAUGUUUCCAGAGAAUGCUGCCACAAAUAUACCCACAAGAGCGGUCUUAGUUUUUAUAAGGCCAAAGAAAAACCAUUGUUAAUGGAGAUUCAAAAAAGGAAUCGUUACAUUUGGGCCAAAUCAAAACUUUCGUGGACCAAAGAAAAUUGGAGCAAAGUUAUUUAUAGCGACGAAAGGAAAUUUGAUGUCUUUGUCGGAGAUUAUCGAAAGCGUGUGAUUCGGGACAAAACAGAAGCAUUCCAUAAGGAUUGUCUUAAAAGGACUGUAAAGUUUCCACAGGGCAUCAUGGUGUGGGGUUGUAUGUCAGCUAAAGGGUUGGGAACAUUGCAUCUAUUAGGGAUUUGGGAGUUAUUUUUGAUGAGAAACUCACAUUUAUUGAUCAUAUUAAUUCAAUUUCUGUAAAAGCAUCAAAAUUGCUAGGGUUUGUUAUGAGAAACUGUUCAUAUUUCUCAGUCUCUUCAACAAGAAGGGUUUAUUGCUCCCUAGUAAGAACUAUAUUGGAGUACUGCUCUGUAGUUUGGUCUCCAUACCACCAGAUUCAUAUCGAUGCUUUAGAAAGAGUUCAACAUAAAUUCCUGAGAUAUUGUGUUCAUAGAACUUUAACUGUUAUUAUUGAGAACCAUGACUAUUCUUAUAUUGAAAGUCAAUUGUCUAUUCCGACACUGUCGCAACGCCGUAAUAUUUCUGGUGCUAGUUUUAUAUAUAAGAUCGUUAAUAGGCUUAUUGAUUGCCCUGAUCUGUUGGGUCGCAUACGAUUUAAUGUUCCUCAUCACGGGUUGCGCCAUAAUGUAACCUUUAACAUUCCAUUCCACAGAACAUCCUAUGGAAUUAAUAAUCCUAUGGAUAGGUAUAUGAAUUUGUUAAACAAUUCGAAUAUUGAUGUGUUUAACAUAAGUUCCUUAAUGCAUCUAAAGAGGUCACUUACUUCAUAAUUGUGCAUAAAAUUUUGUAUUUACAUUCUUGCAUAUAGAUUAUUAAGGUUGUUUCUAGUAUAUGUAGUAUAGGUGUUUUUUACUUUGGUAUUAAUUUUUUAAGUAGGUUUAGAUUAUCACAGUUGUUUAUGUAAAUAUUAUUGCUUUGUAAAAUUUACAGUUAAUGGGGUUUUCCCGUAUUAUAAAUAAAUAAAGCUGUCGAUAAAACAGAAUUUAGAGGACGCGAAGAUGGCUUUGAAUAAACAAAAGUAAGUAGUGCGUUGUCAACAAUACAAAUUUUGAUGCGUCACUUGACCAUUAAUAAUCAAUUACUGUCAUUUUUAUUACGAGUAACAUACAAUAAUGGCUCGUGGAAAACCUACUGAUCUAAAAGUGCGAGAAAUUAUUAUCCGGCAGUACCAUAAAGGGAAAACAAUGCGAGAAAUCUCCAGUGAAUUAAAUGUUGCAACAACUACUAUAUUUAAUAUAAUUAAAAAAUAUGGUGAAACUGCCAGCAGAGAAAAACAAACCACCGAGAAGCGACAAAACCCGCAUUUACCAUUGAUUUUCUGGGGUCCAAUUUUGGUGCCCUUGAACGGACUUAAAUGACUGGCGCUACAUAUUAAGUAACGGAGAAAAAUCGUUUUGGCAAUUUAAUAGUUUCGUACACGGAGAGAAAUACGACAAUUAAUAGAUUAAAAAUUUUAUUGGGAAUUUGAAAUCAAAACUAUUACAUUAUUUUACUAUUGGUAUAGUUAAGUUAUAAGUAUACCUAAACUAUACCGGGUGACACAGGAAAAAGAGAAAACACGCAACAACUUUUUUAUUUUUCAAGAUAAACAAAUGUAUGAAAAAAUAAACUGGGUGUCCUAUUUAAAAUAAGAAAGUUCGUGUCAUUUCCGGUUCAACCGGAAGUGAUCAAAAACAAUUGAAUACGUCAAAAUAUGCUUUUAAAACCAUUAAAUGAAACCAUUGAAAAAUAAAAAAGUUAUUGCGUGUUCCCUUUUUCCUGUGUCAUCCGGUAUAGUGCCAACUAUAAAAAUUACCAUUUAGGAUAAAUAAUGGAAAACAAAAAAUCUUCUAAAUAAACUUUUAUUUUUUGAGAGAAUAAUAUUGGCCCAUUGUAUAAUGACAAAAAUACAUUGGCAAUAAUUAAAUUAAACCUAGGUACAUUUAUACAUUCCGCAAAAUUUUUAGUUUUCGAACAUUUUUAUCUUUAUUUGUUUUUAAGACCCUAUUAUUAUAUUUAAUGGUAUAAAAUAUUUUCAUAAAUAUGAAUAAUUUUAAGGGUUUUUGGAAAAUGUGCACAAGGGUGUUCAUAAUUAAUAGUUUUCCACACCCUGUCUUUGAUGCCUUUGAAUCCACGAAAAGCACAGGUAUAAGGCAUAUUAUAAAAGUUUUUAAUAAAAUAAAGAGCACAAUGACAACACACACAAAAAUAAAGACAGAGAAAAAUUCAGGCAACACUUGACUAGACUAAACUAGGCGUCGAAUAUUACCGGACUAACCGACGGCUGGCAGGGGACCGGCAAUAAGACAAGUAUACCAAAUAAGCUCGCACAUGCGCAAGAAAAAUCGGUCCCGGCUUUGUCCCUUCUCGGUGGUUUGUUUUUCUCUGCUGCCAGUAUUGGUGUUCGCGGCAAAAGUUCAGGACGUCCAAAAGUUGUUUCUCAAAGAAAUGUAAGGAACUUGAUUAAAAUUUGUAAGUCUGGAAGAAGAAAUACUCUACAAGAAGUAACUGCAAGGUGGAAUAGAGAAAGUGGGAUAAAUGUUUCCAGAGAAUGCUGCCGCAAAUAUAUCCACAAGAGCGGUCUUAGUUUUUAUAAGGCCAAAGAAAAACCAUUGUUAAUGGAGACUCAAAAAAGGAAUCAUUACAUUUGGGCCAAAUCAAAACUUUUGUGGACCAAAGAAAAUUGGAGCAAAGUUAUUUAUAGCGACAAAAGCAAAUUUGAUGUCUGUGUCGGAGAUUAUCGAAAGCGUGUGAUUCGGGACAAAACAGAAGCAUUCCAUAAGGAUUGUCUUAAAAGGACUGUAAAGUUUCCACAGGGCAUCAUGGUGUGGGGUUGUAUGUCAGCUAAAGGGUUGGGAAUGUUACACUUUAUUGAUGGCAUAGUAAAUGCAGAAAAAUAUCAAGACAUUCUCAAACAUUCGCUUUUACCAAGUGCAGCAAAUUUAUAUCCAUCUGGAGAUUUUAUCUUUCAACAGGAUGGUGCCUCAUGUCAUACUGCUAAAUCUACCAAAAAAUGGAUGGGGAAACAUAAUAUUAAACAUUUGUCAUACCCCUCUAGCAGCCCGGAUCUCAAUCCAAUCGAAACACUUUGGCACAAAAUGAAGCAAGGCCUAAGAAAUAGUCCGCAGCGUACUUUGCCACAACUACGUGCUAAACUACAGGAAAUAUGGGAUAGUUUCACCCCUGAAUUUUGUGAAGGUCUAGUUGGUACAAUGCCUCAUAGUUCAGGCUGUUAUUCAAGCUAAGGGCGACGUUACGCCUUACUAAUUUGUAUUUUCCUUUUUUAAAACUCACUUGUUCCAAUAUUUAGUUGUCAGCAUUUUUCAUUCAUUUACCAAGUAAUUAAAUACUAAAUAACUUAAAAUAUAUAAAUAAAUUAUAAAAACAACAUUAAACAUUAUUAAAA